AUUGUUACACCACCCAUUGGAUGAUCGAAGCCAAAUUCUUCCUCAGCUUGACUAAGCAAGUCUUGAAAUAAAGGUUGGCUCAAGAAUGAAAUGGGGAUUACAAAAUCUCUUCUUCUGCUUUUCCCAACAUAAACAGCAAAGUGGCCUUUAGGAACAUCUCCGGUUGUAGAAGACUUCUUGAUUAUACGAGGCAUACGGAUAGCCAUGGUCGUUUAGUUCAAUAUAAGAUGAGAAAAUAAGGAUGGGGAGAAUUAGUAAAGACUCUGAAAGCAGAGAAAGCUUUGUAUGGUUUCAAGUUUUGCUGAGUGUUGUUGCGGUAACCCCUUCUUUAUAUGUGUUUAUAUAGGCCAAUGGCAAGUUGUCAAACCCCACUUAUGUGUGAAUAGCUAUUUUGUGGACACCAGGUAAAGACAGUAGCACCUGAAGUAUCACAUGGUUUUGCCUUCCAACUCAUUGUCAUAGUAUUAAUACAUUGAAAGUAGUCUAAAAGCAUAAGGUCCAACUGAUGUUCACAACAAAUAACAGAUAGAAAUUUCAUCUUCUUGAAAAACGGUUUAGCUUCUUGAUGUUAAAUCAACAAGUAAUAGUCAGAUUUCAAUGAUUGAUCAACCACCAGACACCAAUAGAACAAAGAAAAGUGGGAUGUUCCAGCCUUGUAGAUACUGAAUUCAAUCCUAAAUAUCAAGAAUAUCACAAUCCUUAAAGGAUAAAAUAUAAUUUAUGUAUGGAGGUUUAUGAACUCUUUCCUAAGAUUAUACAAAGCAAAACACCUGAUCUUAGGAUGCUUAAAAGAACCAACAUCUGCUGUACUGACUUACAGUUUUGACUAAUUAUGGGAAGUUGGUUGUGUUAGGCUUUGUACAACAAACGUAAAUAGUAAAGAGAAAGAGAACAAAAAAAAAGGUGCUCUCAUUGCUUGGUCUAGAUUAUAACUUACAAACAACUCUAUCAGGCAACAUGGAAUUGAGAUUUUUUUACUUCAAAGUAUGUACAACACACAAAAAAACUAUGGUUUUGGUUUCGAGAACCUGCAAACAAGCAACAUUUGUUACUUACAUAAGUCAUAACCACUAUUUUUAGUAAAACCACCAGAAAAUAUUUACACAAGUUGACUAGAAUAAGGUACAUUUUUGUUAUCCUCAUAUCAUAAGUUGUUUUCUGAUGGUUUAAUCAACUUUGCGGAUCAGAAUUAUCUCAAGAAAUUCUUAUAAAGCAAGCCAGAGAUUUGUUUCAAAAAGAGCAGAAAACAAUAACAUCUAUUAAUGUCACUUAUUUGAUAUUUCGAAAUUUCUGCUGCAGAUAUAUAUAAAGUUUUCUUUGUUGUCGUAGCCAAAAGUAUUUCAGUGUUCAGGUUAAGAUCACAGAUAAGUUGUCUUCUUUAGAGUUAAUUAACAUAGACGGAGUCUUGUAAACAAUACUGAAAACUCAAUUGGCUAAAGAAUGAAUCUGAACAAAUUUCAUUUGCUACUGAAAAUUACAUUAAAAAUUGGGAUCUACGGUUACAGCUGACAGUACAUAGUCCCAUCUCUAUCUAAUUAUCAGUUUUAGUUCUUUACAAAAUUGUAUAAGGUGAAAAGGCUCAGAUCCUACUCAAGCGAGAAGUAAGAUCAAUGAACACAUCCUCGCUGCAGGGAAUUGUGACACCACCCAUGGGAUGAUUAAAGCCAAAUUCUUCCUCUGCUUGGUUAAGUAAAUCUUGAAAUAAAGGUUGGCUCAAGAAUGAUAUAGGGAUCACAAAUCUCUUCUUCUGCUUUUCCCCAACAUAAACAGCAAAGUGGCCUUUAGGAACAUCUCCGGCAGUAGAAGACUUCUUGAUUAUACGAGGCAUACGGAUAGCCAUGGUUGUAUGGUUAGUUCAAUAUAUAGAUAAGCAAAUAAUGAUAGUGGAGAAAAGCUUUGUAUGAUUUCAAGUUUUGGUGAGAGCUGUUAUGGUAAACACUUGUUUUUAUAGGUCAAGAUAGGUAGCAGCUAAAGAUAGUCACAUGGUUUUGCCUUCCAACUAGUUAGAAUAUGGAAUUAGUCCAAAAGCAGAAGGUCCCACUACAAAGAACAGAUCAAUGAAACCUCAUUUUCUUGAAAUGGUAAGAGUUAGGGUUAGGGGCCACCUCUUCAACAACUUGUUUUCAACAUUCCAAUGAUUGAUCAGAUAUGCGAAUAUAUCCUGAGAACUAUAGCAGCCAUAGUGCUAAGUUAUGGUUCCAAUUGAUGCUGCAGUCGAAGACUUUUAAACUACUUAUAAAAUUGUCUGAUUAGGAUGAAUACUAUUGCAAGUAAUAGAGAAUUGGAUAAUGUUAAAAUAUUUUUCCAGUCUCAUUUUAUUUUAAAAUAAGGUGAUAGGACCUGCAAUGUUUUUCUGGUCAAAGACGAACGCCACCAACCAGUGUCUACUUGUGUGUGACCCUCAGAACUCAUUUUGUAGGAAACAAUCAAGAGAAGAAAUAUAGAAGCUUAUCUCUCAUGAGUUGACUUUCAAAUGGAAUGUAGUUGAGUAACUAUAAAAUGGUCAAAUUAGGCUUAUUUGAAUAAUAGAGAUUUGGAUAAGUUGGAAUAUUUCUCCAAGUUUCAUUAAUUAUCGAUAAGAAGGUCACUUAAGUCAAAGAAGAACAGAACCAAACCAACCAGUGCAUUUCUACUUGUGUUGAACAUGUUUGGACCUCAGCACUAAUGUUGUAGGAAACAACCAAGAGAAGAUAGGCCUGAAGAAUAUAUUUUAUUUUUAAAAAAUAUCUCUAAUGUGUAGGGCAAUUGUGAUUAUAAACAGUGCACCUUGAAUCGAUCAGAUUACGUAAAUGGAAUAAUGAGAUAGAGAUAAUGAGCAUUAAAAAGUGAUCACAAAAACGAUAUAAAUUUCUCUUACAGGGUCACCAUCUUUGGCCAUUGCUGUCAUACCAAACCUAGUGAACAAGUGUUUCGCAUACUAGCUGAAUUAAAAAAUGAUACAUAAAAUUCUCCUAGUCUUGAAGGCUAAACGUAUACAAUGACAAUUAAGCAGACAUCUUUACAUGGCAAAAAUGAUUCAGCAUAGUGAAAUACGAGUUCAUAGUCAACAUGCCACUGUUUACUCCUGGAGUCUAAAUUUGCAAUGAACCGGAAGUCACUACUAAUGAAACAGCAAAGACUCCUCUCACCUAUUUCAGUGAAUUGCCAAUGAAACAACACUGUCCAGAGAUAUACUAUAAACAAUGAACUAACAAUCAUCGGGUUCCAGCUGACCAAUUGUGCUUCACUGAAGAAAUCAUGAUAACUUCUGUGCAUUUUGGCUCCAGACAUCUGGUGAACCAUUGCAAAGGUAAAACCUCACAGCCCACCCAAAUUUUGACCUUCUCUAGUCCAGAAUAGAAGCCCUUCUUUCCUUCCUUCCCCCCAGCAGCAUCUUUGUUGGCUUGACUCCUCUAAUAUUACCUGGGCACCAUCAAUCUCAUAACUCAAAUGAUCUUUACCAACAUCAUCGCCCAAAACAGGGGCUCACUGUACUAUAGUCAUUACAAGCAAGAGGUGAAUUGCCUAUAGAUAGUAUGGCUUAAGGAAUAACUACUUUGGUACCACAUUAAGGUUACUUAAGAUACUCAUAAACAAGAUAAAACAAAUGUAGCAAACUAAGCAAUUGAUUGUACUUAUAAACCUGACUUAGAAUGUUGAGCUGAGGGCUUAAACUACCCUUGUUGAAAGAAUCCUCUCUAGCUUGUUUUUGCUUUAGCAGGAUCACGACCAAACUGAAUGACGAUAGGCUUGCCUUUA
rnacentral:lncRNA from 1 species